GGAAAGGCGCGCGAUACAGGGUGACAGCCCCGUACACAAAAAUGCACAUGCUGUGAGCUCGAUGAGUAGGGCGGGACACGUGGUAUCCUGUCUGAAUAUGGGGGGACCAUCCUCCAAGGCUAAAUACUCCUGACUGACCGAUAGUGAACCAGUACCGUGAGGGAAAGGCGAAAAGAACCCCGGCGAGGGGAGUGAAAAAGAACCUGAAACCGUGUACGUACAAGCAGUGGGAGCACGCUUAGGCGUGUGACUGCGUACCUUUUGUAUAAUGGGUCAGCGACUUAUAUUCUGUAGCAAGGUUAACCGAAUAGGGGAGCCGAAGGGAAACCGAGUCUUAACUGGGCGUUAAGUUGCAGGGUAUAGACCCGAAACCCGGUGAUCUAGCCAUGGGCAGGUUGAAGGUUGGGUAACACUAACUGGAGGACCGAACCGACUAAUGUUGAAAAAUUAGCGGAUGACUUGUGGCUGGGGGUGAAAGGCCAAUCAAACCGGGAGAUAGCUGGUUCUCCCCGAAAGCUAUUUAGGUAGCGCCUCGUGAAUUCAUCUCCGGGGGUAGAGCACUGUUUCGGCAAGGGGGUCAUCCCGACUUACCAACCCGAUGCAAACUGCGAAUACCGGAGAAUGUUAUCACGGGAGACACACGGCGGGUGCUAACGUCCGUCGUGAAGAGGGAAACAACCCAGACCGCCAGCUAAGGUCCCAAAGUCAUGGUUAAGUGGGAAACGAUGUGGGAAGGCCCAGACAGCCAGGAUGUUGGCUUAGAAGCAGCCA
rnacentral:rRNA from 1 species